UACCAGCACCCCGAGUGGUCGGGACGUUAUUGGGCCUAAAGCAUCCGUAGCCGGUUCUACAAGUCUUCCGUUAAAUCCACCUGCUUAACAGAUGGGCUGCGGAGGAUACUAUGGAGCUAGGAGGCGGGAGAGGCAAGCGGUACUUGUGGGUAGGGGUAAAAUCCGUUGAUCCAUUGAAGACCACCAGUGGCGAAGGCGGCUUGCCAGAACGCACUCGACGGUGAGGGAUGAAAGCUGGGGGAGCAAACCGGG
rnacentral:rRNA from 1 species